ensembl:ncRNA lncRNA:CR44834 long non-coding RNA:CR44834
ACCACCUCGUACACAGGGUAUUAUACAAUAAAAAGGAAUCGGUUAAAGAAAUAUAUAUACAAAAUUGAAAUCAACUAAAAUGACUUGCUCACAGCCCAGAAAACAGCCCCUGAGGAUCGAGAUGCUAUUUGCUGACACCGAAUUAGGAGAAGAGAUUAAUUUUCUGGUACUGAGAAUAGCCACAUUGAAUCGGGAAAUUUCCGAUUUGAUGGCCUUAUUGAACGCGAUACAUGCUCCAACAGAUUCAUAAAUCAGCAAGAAUUAAUUGGUGGUUGUUCUCGCGAGUAACAAGAAGGACGGUUGUCAUUUUUGUGUUUUGUUAAACAUUUUUUGAACGUUUUUAUUGAACAAUUUUUUUAUGGCAGGCAACGAUGCCAAAUGAACUGAAAUGAAAUGAGAAUUCAACAGAAGACGAAGCUCAAGCUCUUAUAACCAAAUUAAAGCAAGUAACAAAGAGACACUUUUCAAAUUAGUUAUGGCACUUAAGGACGACUAGUUGUCCUAGAAACAAUCAUUCAUUGUGAAACCGAAAUUCAGAGAAACAGAGAUCCAAUUUAUUGAACAUUGCCCAAUAGCCCAGCGUACCAAUUGGUAAAUUUAUUGAAUAAACAUUUAAAUUAACACCCC